UCAAAAUGCCUCAGCUAUGUGAGAUUGAUCGCAUAACCCAAUACACGAGGCAACCCUCGGAUCGAAUUGUCGAUUAUAUCUCUACCUAUUCAUAAGUUCACUCAGCCCGGAUAUAGGACUUUGAUAUUCUCACCUCACACGUUAAAUGAAAACAAACAAAUAUUCACAUGUAUAAACAAUAAGGUAAAGUGUAAACAUAAAACGGAAAAACUAGGUGUGACCCGCUUAAAACGUCCCCAGUGAAGUCGCCAUUUCUGUUAUCACGAUUUUGGGAUAUCAAGUCAUUAAUUAGGCUUGAACCUUUCAAUCUUUGAUAUUCUCUAUUUUUUCUUGGGAAGGGUAAAAUUGAGAAAA
rnacentral:lncRNA from 1 species